AGGGCGCAUGGUGAAUGCCUUGGCAUCAGGAGCCGAUGAAGGACGUGAUAAGCUGCGAUAAGCUUCGGGUAGGCGCACAUAGCCAGUGAUCCGGAGAUUUCCGAAUGUGGGAACACACAUGGGAAACCCCAUGUAUCGUAUAGUGAAUACAUAGCUAUACGAGGGUAAACCUAGGGAACUGAAACAUCUAAGUACCUAGAGGAAGAGAAAGAAAAAUCGAUUUCCUAAGUAGCGGCGAGCGAAAGGGAAAGAGCCCAAACCAAAGAUUUAUCUUUGGGGUUGCGGACAGAACAUUAACGAGAAGUCAUGAUUAACCGAACACAACUGGAAAGUUGGACCGUAGGAGGUAAUAGUCCUGUAGGUGAAAGUCAAGAUAAUCAAGUUCUGAUCCAGAGUACCACGAGACACGUGAAACCUUGUGGGAAGCAGGGAGGACCACCUCCCAAGGCUAAAUACUACCUGAUGACCGAUAGUGAAGCAGUACCGUGAGGGAAAGGUGAAAAGAACCCCGGGAGGGGAGUGAAAUAGAACCUGAAACCGUAUGUCUACAAGCAGUCGAAGCACCUUAAGAGUGCGACGGCGUGCCUAUUGAAGAAUGAACCGGCGAGUUACAUUAUGUUGCGAGGUUAAGUGGGAGACACGGAGCCGAAGCGAAAGCGAGUCUUAAUAGGGCGACUAGUAACAUGGUGUAGACCCGAAACCGCAGUGAUCUAUCCAUGGUCAGGUUGAAGCGCAGGUAAAAAUGCGUGGAGGACCGAACCCGUGAGUGUUGAAAAACUUUGGGAUGAACCGUGGAUAGGGGUGAAAUGCCAAUCGAACGCGGAGAUAGCUGGUACUCCCCGAAAUAGCUUUAGGGCUAGCCUCAGGGAAGAUUAUAGACGGUAGAGCACUGAUCUGGCAAGGGGGCGUAAAGCCUACCGACCCUAGUCAAACUUCGAAUGGCUAUAAUUAAGACCCUGGGAGUCAGACUGCGAGUGAUAAGACCCGUAGUCAAGAGGGAAACAGCCCAGACCGCCGACUAAGGUCCCCAAUGCUGUACUAAGUGGAAAAGGAUGUAAGACUUCAUAAACAACCAGGAUGUUGGCUUAGAAGCAGCCACCAUUAAAAGAGUGCGUAAUAGCUCACUGGUCGAGAGGCCUUGCGCCGAAGAUGUCCGGGGCUCAAGUACAGAACCGAAGUCGCGGCAGGAUUAUAUAAUUCUGGGUAGGGGAGCGUUGUAUAUCCGACUGAAGGUGUACCGGAAGGAGCGCUGGAGGAUAUACAAGAGAGAAUGCCGGUAUGAGUAGCGAAAAGAACAGUGAGAAUCUGUUCCACCGAAAGCCUAAGGUUUCCUGAGCAACGCUCGUCGACUCAGGGUAAGUCGGGACCUAAGCCGAGGCAAAAAGCAUAGGCGAUGGACAACAGGUUAAUAUUCCUGUACCGCUUCAAAUCGUUUGAGCAAUGGAGUGACACAGAAGGUAGCUUGAGCACGCGAAUGGAUGUGCGUGUCGAAGGUGGUAGGUUGCAGUAUAGGCAAAUCCGUACUGUAUAAGACCGAGAACUGAUAGAUAGACGAUACUUCGGUAAAGUCAAAUUCAAGUGAGCCAUGCUGUCGAGAAAAGCUUCUAGUGAGAGAUGAGGCGCCCGUACCGAAACCGACACAGGUAGGCGGGGAGAGAAUCCUAAGGUGCGCGGGACAACCCUCGUUAAGGAACUCGGCAAAUUGUAUCCGUAACUUAGGGAUAAGGAUAGCCGGAGGAUGUGAAGGGAUUUACUUCUGGAGCGUCAGCCGGUGGCACAAGAGAGGCCCAAGCGACUGUUUAGCACAAACACAGGUGCCUGCAAAAGAGAAAUCUGACGUAUAGGUGCUGACACCUGCCCGGUGCUGGAAGGUUAAGAGGAGGGCUUAGAGGAAACUCGAAGGCUUGAAUUGAAGCCCCAGUAAACGGCGGCCGUAACUAUAACGGUCCUAAGGUAGCGAAAUUCCUUGUCGGGUAAGUUCCGACCCGCACGAAAGGUGUAACGAUUUGGGCACUGUCUCAACGAGGGACCCGGUGAAAUUGAAGUACCUGUGAAGAUGCAGGUUACCCGCGACUGGACAGAAAGACCCCAUGGAGCUUUACUGCAACCUGACAUUGAUGUUCGGUAAAUAACGUACAGGAUAGGUGGGAGACGGAGAAGUAUUGGCGUUAGCUGAUAUGGAGUCAACCUUGGGAUACCACCCUUUAUUUAUUGGACCUCUAACUGAAGAAGUAACGACUCUCAGGACAGUAUCAGGCGGGCAGUUUGACUGGGGCGGUCGCCUCCCAAAAUGUAACGGAGGCGCCCAAAGGUUCCCUCAGCGCGAACGGAAACCGCGCAAAGAGUGUAAAGGCAGAAGAGGACAGACAAGAGGGAUUCCAAAAGAAGAGUCCUCAGACCGGGAGAGAGCGUAAGGACAGAUGGAAAAUAUCAGUAUAAGUACCAUAUUGAUGGAAAACCACAUUUUGUCUAUAGUUGGAAACUGGAGUCAACGGACAAACUGCCAAAGGGCAAAAAUCCAUGCUUGUCACUCAGGAAAUUGGAGAAGCAGGUCAAUACGGAUUUGGAUUUGCUGGUAAAUAUCGUGGACGUGUCAGUUUUUGAGGGGUUGGUUUGAGGGUCUAGAAUAAUUCCAGUCAGCUGUGUAACCACCUUGUCGGAAGGAGAGAAAGUGUGAAAGAAAGUGGAGAAGUCCAUAGAUGGAUAUAGUGGAUUCCUAUUUUACGAUGAUAAUGGAAUGCCACUUGUUGCAAUGCAUUGGCAGCACCGCUUCAAUCAUAUGGUCGGCAGAUACAAUGAC
rnacentral:rRNA from 1 species